AGUGAACGCUGGCGGUAGGCCUAACACAUGCAAGUCGAACGGCAGCACAGUAAGAGCUUGCUCUUACGGGUGGCGAGUGGCGGACGGGUGAGGAAUACAUCGGAAUCUACUUUUUUGUGGGGGAUAACGUAGGGAAACUUACGCUAAUACCGCAUACGACCUACGGGUGAAAGCAGGGGAUCUUCGGACCUUGCGCGAUUGAAUGAGCCGAUGUCGGAUUAGCUAGUUGGCGGGGUAAAGGCCCACCAAGGCGACGAUCCGUAGCUGGUCUGAGAGGAUGAUCAGCCACACUGGAACUGAGACACGGUCCAGACUCCUACGGGAGGCAGCAGUGGGGAAUAUUGGACAAUGGGCGCAAGCCUGAUCCAGCCAUACCGCGUGGGUGAAGAAGGCCUUCGGGUUGUAAAGCCCUUUUGUUGGGAAAGAAAAGCAGCUGGUUAAUACCCCGCUGUUCUGACGGUACCCAAAGAAUAAGCACCGGCUAACUUCGUG
rnacentral:rRNA from 1 species